rnacentral:rRNA from 1 species
AUGGGAAGGAAACUUUUACUGAGGUGUUGCAAACCACGAAUUAGGGGCAUUUUAUCAGGUACUCAGUCAGUGCGGGACAAGCUGCAUUUGACAAGAAGGAAACAGCCUAGACUAUGAAUUAAGGCCCGAAAAUAGCGCUAAGUGAGAAAGUAAUUAACUUCACAAAAAUUAGUAGGACGUUUGAUUAGUAGCAUCUACCGUUUCAAGAAAGCGUAAUAGCUCACUACUAUAGUUUAGUUGUUGCGAAAAUUUAGCCGGACUAAGCGCUAUGCCGAAAUUAUAGCUAACUGGAUCUUAAUAAAAGUCAGUUAGAGUAGCAAAACGAACCAUGUUGACAAAGUUACGUCGGUAAGACUUAAUGAAAAUAUUGGUUGUGAAUAUAUCAGCUAGAGUAACAUAUAAAUUGAGACUUUAAAUAAAUAAUUGUUUUAUAUUAAUCUUGUUUUAUUGUAUUUGUAUAAAGUUUAUUUAUUAAAAAAAUAGUAUCUCAAUGAUCGGAAAUCCUGGGUUUUCUACACAACUGUUAAAGAUGUAGUUAAAAAUACGGUCCCUAAGUAAUGUAAAGGUUACGAUGGGUACCUGCUAUGCCCAAUAAAAUCUAAUUUGUAGAUCUGUUGCAGGAAAAAAUAGCAGGAAUUUACACAAAAAUCGAUUUUUUUUGUACAAAAUAAUACCGUACUAAAACUGACUCUGGUGGAUUAGUAGAUUUUACUAAGAUUUGGUUAUAAUCGUUCGUAAGGAACUCGGCAAAUUGCGCUGGUACUUUCGAAAACAGCGGUCUAAAAGCAAUCUUUUAGAUCUCAGAUAAGAGAACUGGGUGACAGUUUACUAAAAACUUAGCGUCCUGCCAAUUUGAAACAAGACGUAUAGGAUGUGACGUUUGCUAACGGCCACUAAUUUAAGUAAUCUGUUGUAAAAGGUAGAUAAACAAGAUGUGGUGACGAGCGGCCGUAACUAUAACGGUCAUAAAGUAGCGAAAUUCCUAGGCAUUUAAUUGGUGUCCUGCAUGAAUAACGUAACAACCUGGUUGCUGUCUCGCGAGCGAAAACCGUGAAAUAAGAAUAUCGGUUAAAAUACCGAUUAGGCUGUCUUAGACGAUAAGACCCUGUGAAGCUUUACUGUAACCUAACAUUGCGAUCGGUUUUUUACCUUACAGCUAGGCGGGAGGCAAUGCCAACAAUGGAAAACCGCUAGAUAAUAAAUUGGUCGCUUUUAUAUAAGAGUACUUUUUAAUCUAUAAGAUAUUUAUAUAAGACACGUUAUAUAAGAAAUUUUAUGUGAAUAGAAUAAGCUUUAUGUUAACCCUUGUAUAAAACACUUUAAUUAACAAAGCUCGAAGACAGUGUUAGGUGGGCAGUUUACUUGGGGCGAGGUCUGGCUAAAAAGUAACGCCAGAGAGCAAAAGGUAUGCUCAGUAUUGUCGGAAACGAUAUGUAGAGCGUAAUAGUAUAAGCAUGCCUGAUUAUAAGACUGACAAGUCAAAUAAGGACGAAAGUCUGCUAUAGUGACCCUCACAUGCUAGGUGGAAAGGUGUGAGAUCAACGAAUCAAAGUUACUCCAGGGAUAAUGCUUAAAAACGCGACAAGUAUGACAAUGUACUAUGCGGUGAGAUUCCGAUGAUCAAAAAACUCUGAUCACCCCACAAACGACAACCCCGCAUUCAUCCAAUGACUGCUUGGUUGUAGACUCGUAUUUAGGGGCAGAUACCCAAGGUAAGCGAAAGCAAAUUGACAUUAGAGGCGCAUAAUUAGUAAAUUCUUUUCUGAAUUUACAGAGUAACUUGCUUAUCCCGAGUUAUUGAGUUUUCAAUGUAUUAUGCGCAGAGUCAGUGCCUAAAGGUAUUGUUAAUGGAGUACAUGUAUGAACUUGGUAAGCCUUAUAGGUUCUAAAUAAUAUUUAAAUCAUAUUUAGAGGGCCGUUCGUAAGAUGGGCUAUCACCUAGAAGGUAGAAGAGAAAGCAAAAAGCGAAUGCAGUGCUGUAAUGGCGCUGAUAAAUACAAUUGUAUUAACUUGAAAAAGUGCUAACUUGCUUUUGGUAUAAAAAAAAAAUGGUUUUAAAAAUGAGAAAUAUUACUUAUAAUCUAGUGCUAAAUAAGCACGCCAAGCCACAAACAAAAGCGGAAUUUGGUGCUUUCUUAGCCGGUUUAAUAGAUGCCGACGGGUCCAUCAAAAAGUAUGGCCAUGUACAGAUAACUUUUCAUAAGCGCGAUGUAUGCAUCGCCUAUUACAUAAAAACAAUGGUUGGCAAUGGGUACAUUUAUGCAUUUAAAAAAGUGCCGGCUUAUAACUAUAUUUGUUCUAAAGAACAAGGGCUAAAGGUCAUAGGCUUCAUUAUAUCGAAAAAUUUAAAAAAUAUUGAUAAAAUUAAACAGUUCAAUAGCCGCCUAGCGCCUCGUCUAAAUUCAAAAUUUUGUAAGACGCCCAGUUUUACAGAUAUACAACAGAACCAUUGGUUUGCCGGCUUUGUGCAAGGGGAUGGAAGUUUUCAAAUUAAAAUAAGAAAGCCCCGUAAACCCGGUUGGAGUAAUCAAAUUGAAAUUGUACUUCAAAUUGAAUUAAAGCAUGAAGACUUGCUAAAACAAAUACAAGCAAAUUUUGGUGGUAGCAUAGGAUACCGUAAAACUAGAAAUACUUACUACUACAGUAGCGUAAAUUUACAAAACGCAGUUAAACUUGUGAAUUAUUUUGAUAAAUAUCAAGUUAUGGGACCUAGCUAUCGACUAUAUCUAUGCUGGAAAAGCGCUUUAGAGAUAGUGUUGACUAAACAGCACCUAACCUCUACUGGAUUUGAAGAAAUACAAUCUUUAAAAACAUAUAUGGCACAAUUAAGAGAGAUUAUUUGAACCUAUAUAAAUACAUUUUUUAUCAUUUUUUAUUUUUUAUGCUUGAGCCGUAUGCGCUGAAAGGUGCACGUACGGUUCUUAGGGGAAAAAACGUUUGCGAAAGCCAAUUUCCCCAGUCAGGGUAGUCCUGGCUUAUAGUUCUUAUAGACGCCAGGGUUCGCCACCUUAAUUAGCAUUGGGGCUCUUAUCUAGGAAACUAGAUUAGGAAUGCAUUUGGCUAUAUGCUGGAACCCCCGUUUGCAUUAAAUUUAACAAAGAACAUUAUUUUUAAUAGCAAUGUAAAUAUUACGUGGCUUGCUUGUUUUAUAAAAAGCUUGUUGACACAUGUGAUUGCGGGCAAUCAGCAGGGAAGUUCAAGCAACUUAUAUUUUUCUGUUGCAUAACCCCUCAACGACCACACGCCGAACACCCUUAUAAUGGGUGAUGAUAUGGUCUACUCUUACAAGAAAUUGUAAGUCAAUUCAAAUUAUAAAUAAAUUGAUAUACACAACUACAUAAAAAACAAAUUUUUUCUUUAUACUUUAUACGUUAUGAUACAAAAAAAUAACUUAUCAACAUUACCUUUGUUUUUCCUUUCAAAGAAGUUAACUCCAAAGGUGGCUUUCUCGCUUUCUCCUUUGCGGGGCAAAGGCAAAAUGCCAACUGGUACAAAAAAGCCGACGUUUGGGUUCAUAAAGACGAACCAAGAAAGCUAUACGGUAAAAAUCUUGUAACCUAUAAAAAAACACUCAAACUAACGCCGCAGCAAAAACGUAUUUUAAUAGGAAGUUUACUAGGUGAUGGGUAUAUUGAUUUUCAUAGAUCUGCAAAACAACCAAGUUACUACUUUUGCUUUGCUCAAACCUGGCAUGCUGCAGAUUAUGUUGAUCACAUUUAUCAAAUAUUUAAACCAUUUGUAGGUACUCCGCCUAAAAUAAAUAAAAUCGGCGGCAUAAAGUCAGGGUUGCCAAAGCGUUAUGAAGUUCGUUUUAAAACUUAUGCUCACGAAGAGUUUAAGUAUUACUACGAUUUAUUUUACUUUUGCCUGCGGCAAAGCAAAGGUCCUGAAGUAGAUGGUCAAAGAAAAAAGCGUGUUCCACAAAAUAUAAAAAGUAUAUUAACAGCUGAGGGCCUGGCUUACUGGUAUAUGGAUGAUGGGACAACACGGACAUAUAUAACAGGGAAAAAAUCUUAUGUUAUUUCAACUCAAGGUUUUUGUUAUGAAGAUCAGGUUAUAUUAAUUGAUGCUUUUAAAGAAACAUUUGGUCUUGAUUGCGGUGUGCAUAAAGAUAAAACCUACUUUAGGUUAGGUUUUAGAGCAUCAUCUAAUACGCUGUUUUUAAGCUUAAUAAAACCGUAUAUACACGCAUAUUUUGAUUAUAAGCUUUAAGUAAUAUAAAAACACUGCCAAUUGUAGUGUGUAUAAUAAUAUACAGACGAUGUUGCCUCAGGUCAUCCUAGAGCUGCACAAGGUUCUAAGGGCGCAACUGUUCUUUGCAUAAUGACCUACGUGAGGUGAGUUUAAACCGCCGUAAGGCAGGUUUGGUUCUAUCUAGACAGCCAUAAUAUUUAACCAAGCACUAGAAUUCCACUGUACGAAAGGACCCGGAAUUCCGCGCCAAUGGUUUAGCAAUUGUUUUGAAAAAAGCAUGGUUGCAACGCUAAGCGUGAAAUGUUAAUUGCUGAAAAACUAUCAAGCAAGAAACAAUUGUAAAGGUUAUAGUACAUCGCAUUUGCGUAAAUAGGCAGGGGGUGUAAGUGUUGUAAGACAUUAAGCUACCCUGUACUAAUUUUUU